ensembl:lncRNA uncharacterized LOC115193817
GGGUGGGCUUUUAUUUUGAAAUACAGGAUACCGGAUGUUGUACACUUUACAGCUUUAAGUUCUUCCGCUUUCAUUCACCCGCCAGCUACUUCAAAGCAAGCGAACUAACGAGUAAAUGUUUGUUUUGACAUUCGGGGUUUCCCUGAUAAGUAUUGAUAUCUAGCAUUCAUUUAAUUGCCGUCAUCAUUUGACGGCAACAAUGUUUCGUGGUUUUCACAAUCCCGGAGAACUUCACCGGGGCCCUGCUCCCUUAGGCCACCCAUCCCAUUUACAGCCACCCGGUCCCAGCUACGGAGGGCCCUUUGGCCCGCCACCCCACGUUCCACUGCCUGGACACUUUCCUCCUGGAUCUUGUCAUCCUUUCUUACCUCCCGGAUCGGGAAGUGAAUACCUCCACAGGCCAAUGAGGGAACAUUAUAUCAAUGUACGUAGCUAACGUUGUCAGCUAAUGUGCUUCACAGCAAAUCCAUUGCUAGUCGAUUUAUUCUUUUGUUUGUUUUUUGAUAAAAUGUAUUAAUGCUUAAAUAGGAUACUGGUAGACAUGGUGCACACAGCCAAAACACCAUAACGUUAAUGAUUACAAUGGUCAGCUAUCUAGUAUGCUGAUGUUUACAUGUUGUUUGUACCUCAACCAGACUCCACACUGCAGCAGUUACUCCAUUGACCGCAGCACAGUGAUCAGUCUUGGUAGUCAACAGAUUCUCCCACCAGACACACAGCAUCUUCAGAUGCCACAGUGGCCCGCCAAUCCUUUGGAAUCAUGCCAAAGAGACAAGAGUGAGAACUUGACCGCUGGUGAAGAAUUCCUCAGAUGCCUUGCGGCUAAUAAGCCAGUCCCUGACUUUCUCAAAGGAGUCAACCUGUUGGACGCAGGGAAGGCAGUCAAGGCACCAGGUGUACCAGAAGACCGGGGUUAUGAGAGGCAGAGACUCCGGAGCAAAUCUCGCAGUCCAGCGAAGGAAAGCAGGGGCAGGAGCAAGAGCCGAGCAAAGAGCCAGGUAAGAAGCAAGAGCCGGGCAAGAAGCAAGAGCUGUCCGCGCAGCAGAAGUCGUACCCGAGGGAAAAGCCGACCACGAAGCAGGAGUCGCAGUCGUGGAAAGAGCCAGGUCAGAAGCAAGAGCAAGGCUCGUAGUAGGAGCCGGAGCCGAGGGAAAAGUCGGGCAAGGAGCAAAAGCAGAUCAAGGAGUAGGAGUCGCAGCUAUGGAAAGAGCCGGGGCAGGUUGGACCAUCAUUCAGACCACAGGGACAAAAGGAGCCCCAUUCGGAGGAGUAGCAGCAGGAUCAGUAAUCACUCCUCCGCACACAAUGACCUGCUCGAGGGCCUGAAACGGGUUAUGAACAGCAAGCAACUGGAGGACAGUAUGCCUUCCAUCAAGAAUGCCAUUCUCACAAUACAGGCCAAUAACUUUAGCAGAGAUAUCCAGAGCAACUGUCUUCCAUGUGGACCAGUCUUGGCCAGCAGACAGGAAUUUCUUCAAGCCUCAGAUGGGCCUAAGCCAGUCAGCAGACAGGACGAGACCGACAGCAAUCUUCUCCCCCACGAGAGAGUGGGCUGUGACUUCUCCUGGCUGCAGGGCACCAGGGAGGUCUCACCUGUUCAAAAGCCGGAGGAGGUCGAGGAUGAGGAGAACUUCCUCUAUGGGAAUGAGGAUAACCAGUCAAAACAACGCCCUGCCACCCUGCCUUUUGCACAGUCCACAUCCAUUACCCAGCAGAGCGAUGCAGAGAUCUCCCCAGCAGGCCCACCCUACUAUCAAAGCCAGCCUCUGUUCGGGAACCAUGGUGAAGUCCAGGAGUUCAAGAUGCCUCCUCAACCGGUCCAGUCUAGUGUGAGGCUUGAGCAGAGGGUGCAGCCUGUUCCUGCUCCUGAUGUGAAGCCCACCCCCACUGUGAAGGAAUGUGAGGAGUUCAAGGCCAUGUUGAAGAACAUUGGGCUGAAUCUGGGCACGUCAGAGAUCAGUAAGAUGAUGGUCAAGCUGCAGCAACAGAAGGAGGGGAAGAUGCCAGAGCAGAAGAGGGAGGAGAAAGUGCCAUCACCAGCACCAGUGCUGCCUCUUCCUCUUGUAGUUGGGGCAUCACAGGAGCCCAGACUGGCCUCGCCAACACUCGGGGCAGCACUUGGGACAGCACCAAUACGACAAGCAUUGGAGUCAUUACAGUUCAUUAUUAAAGCAACAAGGGAGAAAAGGGCCAAUAGUGAUCCACAUGAUGGCAACCAUUCCCAGAGGAAUUCAGACAAACAGAAGAGCAAAGAUGACGAGGAGAGUCAGAGGAGAUCGAGACAUGACCAAAUGAAAAGGAAAGAAACUCUUGUGAAGGAACUGGAGGAAUUGCUAAAGCAGGAUGGGUCCACCUUUUUGAUUCCGGUCAUCGGGUUCUACUGUCAGAGGUGUGAGGAGUUCUUCGGAGACCUGACCACUGCUGAGGGCCAUGCUGCAACCCACCGGCGGAAUGAGCCUAGCAUGCAGCAGCAUGGAGACAGACGACCUGGAGAGGACAGAAGACACCCUAGCCAUUACAUCGGGCACCCCCUGGCUCCAGAGCGGAGGGACCAGAGAGACCCAAGAGAUCAGAGGUAUCGCAAACUAGACGAGGGCCCAAAGGCUUACAGGAACGACAGGGAGAAGAUCUACGUGAAAGAGGAACGACCUGGAAGCCCCAGGAUAAAGAUGACGGUGGUCCGCGGGCACACCCCACCAGGUCUGCAGAAGGCCAGGGGGAGAGAGGAGGGGAGGGUGGAUAAGGGCUCUUGUGCUGCUUCCUCUGGCCCUGCCAGUGGGAAAUAUGAUAGGGUCAAACUGGAGGAGGUGGAGACCAAAGGAAAGCCCAACAUGGAAGUAUGUGACAAAGAUAAAGGAGAAAGCAGUUCUAGCAGUGAUGACGAGAAAGACAAAUCUCCUAAAGGCAACAAAAAGAAAAAGGAGAAGAAGAAGAAGGAAAAGAAGAAGAAGAAGAAAAAGGAAAAGGGUUAGAAGUAAUAGCUGCUGUACUGCAUGUCCUGGUUUGAUUGUACUGUAUCUCUGGAGGACCUGGCCUUGGGUCAUUGUUUGGCAUCAUUGCAGCUGUUUUCAGAAGUUGGUGGUUUUAACGUUAGAAAGAAGCAGUGUUCCUCUGAUUUGUUCUCUCCUUAUGGGGUAGUCUUUUUUCCCAACAAACUGUGUUCCUCUGUGUUGUAGUGGAUAACAGGACAUUUUCAUUGAAUGCUGUUGGAGGACAGGACGUUCCAGGGUGCAUAUGCAGCAUUUAUGAUGUCCAGAAUCAUUUUGCUGCCAGCUACUGAUCCUAUUGUUCAGACCUUUAGUUACUGUAGAUGUGCAUUAAAUAACCCUCCUUAUAUUGGGCCAUGUUUGUGUAUAUUUCACCCGGUACAACCUUGAUUUAGUGCUUCAAGUACUAUCAAAUGUACUUUUGCCAUUUAAAGGUCAACUGCCAUUUGAAGCGUGUGCCGUCUUUCUUCCUAAUGUUAAACCGUUGAGAUGGAAUUAUUCUGUAAUGAAGAAAUUCUUAUACAUUGUCCUCUUAUUUAGGUCUCAGCAAUUGAUGGCGCAAGGCUAUUUGCAAGCGCACAUGAUCUUGCCAAAGUCAUUGAAUCCUAUCAGGAUAGGAACAGUUGACAUGUUUUUGAAAGGUGAUCACUUUUUUUUUGUCUGCUGUUGCUCACUCUCACUUCCUCUUUCUCACACACUAGGCAUUUCCAUUGAUCCAGGUUUAUUGGACAAAAGCAAUGUCAGGGGAAAAAUAUAUUCUGCCGUGUAAUAGAAACGGCAGAUAUAGGAGACAUUUUAAAGCUCCACAACAUUUUUAUCCGUUCGAUAGGGUUCUAUUUUUCUUUUGUUGAACUUUCUUUACUGCAACUAAUGAGGGAAACUGUUUUCGAAUAAAUGUUGAUUGUAAAAUACUUUUGAAGGUACGCUGGGCAUGUGAUGUCAUCACAUAGCUAUAGUCUCCACUCCCAAAUGCCUACUGCUUGCAAAAUAAGUUUUCUAUUAAGCUAACAUAUGGAAUUGUUUUAAGAUGGUCAUACCAUGGAUCAUUUAGCUAUUUGAAUUUGAAUUUUAUGACCCCUUCAGGUAAUCAAAAAUAUUUAGUGAUUUGAUCAAAUAUUUCAUUUCACCUCUAUUACUAUAGCCCAUAGAAACACAUUGAAUAACACAAUAAAUGUCAUAAGACAGUGAAAAAAAUCACAGGGAAUAAGGUUUUAAAGUGUCUGUCCUAGAUAUACGAAAGCUCAGGAUAUAGUUUAGUUUAGAAAGUAUUCAUACCCCUUGAUUUAUUCCACAUUUUGUUGUGCCUGAAUUAAACAAAACUAAAAAUAAUUCUCACCCAUCUACACACAAUACCCCAUAAUGACAAAGUGAAAACAUGUUUUUAGAAAUGUGCAAAUUUAUUGAAAAUUAAAUAUAGAAAUGUCUCAUUUACAUACACUACCGUUCAAAAGUUUGGGGUCACUUAGAAAUGUCCUUGUUUUUGAAAGAAAAGCAAAAAAAUUGUCCAUUAAAAUAACAUCAAAUUGAUCAGAAAUACAAUGUAGAAAUUGUUCAUGUUGUAAAUGACUAUUGUAGCUGGAAACGGCAGAUUUUAUAUGAAAUAUCUACAUAGGCGUACAGAGGCCUUUAUCAGCAGCCAUCACUCCUGUGUUCAAAUGGCACGACUCCGGGAUGCUGGCCUUCUAGGCAGAGUUCCUCUGUCCAUUGUCUGUUAUUUUGCCCAUCUUAAUCUUUUCUUUUUAUUUGCCAGUGUGAGAUAUGUAUUUUUCCAUGCAUUUCUGCCUAGAAAGCCAGUAUCCCCGAGUCGCCUCUUCACUGUUGACAUUGAGACUGGUGUUUUGCGGGUGCUAUUUAAUGAAGCUGCCAGUUGAGGACUUGUGAGAUGUCUGUUUCUCAAACUAGACACUAAUGUACUUGUCCUCUUGCUCAGUUGUGCACCGGGGCCUCCCACUCCUCUUUCUAUUCUGGUUAGAGCCAGUUUGUGCUGUUCUGUGAAGGGAGUAGUACACAGCGUUGUACGAGAUCUUCAGUUUCUUGGCAAUUUCUCGCAUGGAAUAGCCUUCAUUUCUCAGAACAAGAAUAGACUGACGAAUUUCAGAAGAAAAUACUUUGUUUCUGGCCAUUUUGAGCCUGUAAUCAAACCCACAAGUACUGAUGCUCCAGAUACUCAACUAGUCUAAAGAAGGCCAGUUUUAUUGCUUCUUUAAUCAGAACAACUGUUUUCAGCUGUGCUAACAUAAUUGCAAAAGGGUUUUCUAAUGAUCAAUUAGCCUUUUAAAGUCAUAAACUUGGAUUAGCUAACACAAUGGGCCGUUGGAACACAGGAGUGAUGGUUGCUGAUAAUGGGCCUCUGUACGCCUAUGUAGAUAUUCCAUAAAAAAUCUGCUGUUUCCAGCUACAAUAGUCAUUUACAACAUUAACAAUGUCUACACUGUAUUUCUGAUCAAUUUGAUGUUAUUUUAAUGGACAAAAAAUUAGCUUUUCUUUCAAAAACAAGGACAUUUCUAAGUGACCCUAAACGUUUGAACGGUGGUGCAAGGAUUCACACCGGAGUCAAUACAUGUUAGAUUCACCUUUGGCAGCGAUUACAGAUGUGAGUCUUUUGGGGUAAGUUUCUAAAGCCUUGUUCACAUUAACAGUUUGAAGUGACUUAAAUCAUAUUUAUUUGCAUUUCUGAUUCAAAUCUGUUCUUUUUCCUGUAGUCUGAACAGCCAAAAGGCACAUGGAUUUGGAUAUUUCAAGCCACACAAGGGUAGUUUUAAGUCGGAUACAAAUCUGAUUCCUGGCCAUGUGACUUGUCUGAAUCGUCAAAUCUGAUUUAUUUGUGGUUUUUAGACUGCUAUUCAGCAUAUCUUGUUGCUUGUUUGCUACUCUGUUGACAGUUUGACAAGAACAUGUGGUAGCUAACUAGCUUGAUAAUUGUUUACAAACAAAUUAGUGAAUGUGCUACAGAGCUAAACAGCUAGCUAGCUAAUUGACUACUGUGGCUAACCAAAAAGGACUUGUUUUGAAAGUUGGAUCAUCUUAUCCUUUGAGGCUUUAAAAAUGUUCUUACCCUAUGACUUUGAAGAUUCAAAGCAACUGGGAAACGUCCAUGGCAGGCAUUGUUGUCAUGUUAACUUGCUGCAUAACUUGAGUGACAGGAAGCAAAAGCACCACCACCAAUCAGCCUACACCACUGCACACACGUCGUUACUAUGAUCACUAGCGUAGCCUUGUUUUUAUUAAAAAUAUAUAUUUCUAUUUAACCUUUAUU